UCAUGGACACAGCUGCCACUUGAAGGUCCUGGGCUGUGGUAGAAAUCACUUCCAGACCCAGCGCCACUGUUUGCCUCAGGGCCAGUGUGAAGAUUGCCCCACGUGAGAGCACAGAACUGCCAGGCGAUGCUCAAGAGCACAUCUCAGUUCUGUCUCGGUGAUUCUCAGUGGGAGAAUCAUCAUUGUGACCCCCAGUUGAGAAUCACUAUUGCAGGGGACAACUGAGAAAUGACAGGUACUGACAAGAAGCCUUGAGCCAAAUGGAGUUCUGUGAGAGUGUUGUCUGGGGUCAGGGAAGGUUGCCUUUCUGCAAGAGAGGAGGCCCUGAGCUUCCUGACUCUUCCUCCACCUAGGACGAUGACCCAGGAAGGGUGAGUGAGGAAGUGUCAGCACACACACCUCUGGAUCUGCCCAUGCGAGAGGCCCUCAAGUCGCGUAUCCAGGAGGAGAUUGCCAAACGCCAGAGCCGACACUGACCAGGUGGAAGGCAUUCUCUCCAGGCAAGAAUCCUGCACUUGGAUGAAUUCUAACUAGGGAGCCCACCCUACAUUGCGGUGCUAGGACUUGUCUGUCUGAUCUUGAGACCCUUAUAAGCUGCUGCCUCCACAGGGGUGUUGCAGGGCUAAACCUAGCCCACCUCCCUUGCAGCAAUUCUUUCUUGUAUGUUGACCAUUUGGCUGGCCUAUUGUCUUGGAAUUUUUUGAGAAUUUUGAUUAGAGAACCUGGUGCUCUUGAAGCUAAGAACUUAGGGAGAGCCAGGGUUUAUAAAGCCUUUUGCCAAUACGCUGCUCUCUCACUGAGGUCAUAUGCCUGACCACUCACGCCAUGAGCCAUGUUUGUUACUUUAUCGUUUUCUUUCAUGUUUCUGCUUCCACCAUAGUUUCCUAGACCCCCCCCCCCCUUAAGUUUUGUUCUUUUUGCCUCAGGUAGAACCCAUCAGUUCCUUUCACCCCAUCUCUUGACAUGACUAUGCAUCUCCACAACUAAGGGCUUUGCUGCUGGGGAGUUCUGGGUAUCUACCUUUCUAACAAGUUCUCCGAAUAUUUCUGGCACCAGUAAGAUGGGAGAGGCCUGCUUGGAAGCUUGUUCUCUUCCCCUUGCCUGACUUCUUCCCAUGCUCCACUGCUUUGCGCUGUUUAGAUAGGCCACCUAGGAAAAAGAUGCUGUUGUAAAAUCUGGGGAUCUCAGUGAAUCCUGCUUUAGUUAGAGUUAAGCAACUCCAGCUUUUGAUCCCAUCCCCAGUUGUAAAUAGACUAUUCUCUGUUCAGACUAAAGGGGAAUUGUCAAAACAAGGUAUUAAAGUCCAGAACAGUUUUGAAUAUAUGUGCAAAGUGGAAAUCAGCAUAAGUUUAGAGCCCCAGUAGCCAGAAAAAAAAAAGUCCUGAAGAAAGCCCAUACUAGAAAAAGUAAAAUCAGCCCCUUAUCUGCCCCACGUGUUUUCCUUUCCUACCUCCAAAAAAUAUACAACUAAGAGUCUUGUAGAGCCCCAGUAAUAGUAUGUUGGCCCAUUUGGCUGGCCUAUUAUCUUGAAUUUUUUUGAGAAUUUUGAUUAGAGAACCUUGUGCUCUGGUAGCAGAGACCUUAGAGAGAGCCAGGGUUUAUAAAGCCUUCUGCCAAUAUGCUGUAUGUAGAGAAUUUUUAUUUUUUGGAAUGGUCCCAGGAAUCAAACCCAGGGCCUCUUGCAUGCUAGGCAAGCACACUGCUACUGAGCUCCAUUCUAACACAGGGUUAGACAAGAGGACUGAGGGGUGCAGCUCAGUGAUAGAGUACCUGCCUAGCAUGCAC
rnacentral:tRNA from 1 species